rnacentral:rRNA from 1 species
GACGAACGCUGGCGGCGUGCUUAACACAUGCAAGUCGAACGCUGAAGCUCAGCUUGCUGGGUGGAUGAGUGGCGAACGGGUGAGUAACACGUGAGUAACCUGCCCUCUUCUUUGGGAUAACGCCCGGAAACGGGUGCUAAUACUGGAUAUUCACUGAUUCUCGCAUGGGGGUUGGUGGAAAGGUUUUUUCUGGUGGGGGAUGGGCUCGCGGCCUAUCAGCUUGUUGGUGGGGUGAUGGCCUACCAAGGCUUUGACGGGUAGCCGGCCUGAGAGGGUGACCGGUCACAUUGGGACUGAGAUACGGCCCAGACUCCUACGGGAGGCAGCAGUGGGGAAUAUUGCACAAUGGGCGAAAGCCUGAUGCAGCGACGCCGCGUGAGGGAUGGAGGCCUUCGGGUUGUAAACCUCUUUCGCUCAUGGUCAAGCCGCAGCUUUGGGUUGUGGUGAGGGUAGUGGGUAAAGAAGCGCCGGCCAACUACGUG